GCAGAGGUCCUUACUCGAAAGUUUGAGGAGAUGGAUCAGCUGAUUGGUGAAGAAGAUCGAAGCCAGUUUUACCAGAUUUUCUAUGGUGUUUUCGACAACCAGAUUGCUGCAAUGGAUGCACUUUUGAAUGGAAAAGAGUCAUUUGCACGUCAGGCAUUCAAGAAUGUGCUGGACCAGUAUUUGGGAGUACAUUUUGAUGGUUCAAAACCUUUGGUUAAAUGAGACGUUGACUGGUACUUGGCUUUUCUAAGGACUACUGGUCCCUAACUUAUUCAAAUUCACUUCUGAGGUGACUCUUUUUUUAUUGGUUUGCGCUUGUGCAUGUCUUAGACAGGAAAAAGAAAUAUGCCUUGUACAAUACCUGAUCCUGUUGUUGGUAAUUACUGAUGUAUCCUAGGGACUUCUACUGCAAUUUGUUUUGUCAGAUACAUUUACAGGAAGUGCCUUUCUUCUGCUUUUUAUUAUUUAUUUUUUGGCUUUAUUUGGCAAGGAUCCUGAUUGUGGAGUAACUGAUCCUUGAUCCUCAAUAGUUAAGUGAAACGAAGAUAAUCAAGUAUCUGUAUUUCUAUCUGGACCAUUAUUUCGUCUGAUCCCCUUUGUUAAUGCCAAAUUUGUUUUGUCCAAUGUCCAUGGAGAUAUUCUACUUCCAAGCUUUACAUGUGUUAGUGAACCAGCAAUAAGAGGUGUGCAUGAAUCAUCUAAAAUGUAAAGCUGACAUUUUUAUGCUUAAACUUUCAUGGAUAUAUGAAAAUAAAGGGUGUUUAAGCUACUAAUUUCUAUCUGAUUUCCUUCUCUCUGUGGAUUGUGGAGUGGUGAAAAUGACACUAUUAGAUAGUUGUGAAUGCAGAUUAUGGGGUAAAUUAACAUGAGGUGUUAUCUUGCAAGAUGCUUUAAAGUUCCAUUACUUUGAUUACCAAAAUUUGGUACUUGCAUAAAGAUAGGAAUAUCUCACCAAGCAACACCGGGCCCCCUAGGGAACAUUUUAAUAUUUUGGCUUUCGUGGUGAUUGAGAAACUGGAUGAAAAGUUGACUAAGGUGGGACUUCAAGCUGCCAUCUGCUUUCAGUUUCACUUCCCAGCGGAAUCAUCUUUAUUCAGAAUAGGAUGAAAAGUUUAUAAUUUUAAUUCUACCACAUAAUUUUGAGACUUAUGCUGGAUUUUAGUUGAAGUGAAACAUGUCUUUUUUGCGUAGUUAAGGUUAGGGAUUACGGGGAAGUGUCAUUUACAUUACAGCGGUUUUUGAGCUCAAGGCUAAAGAGAAAAAGCAUGAAAAAGUGGUCUGGAUUCAUUGUUGAUUCUGGAUGGAAGAAGAAGUAGGGGAAAAGGUAAGGCUAGUGGAGAUGAGAUUCCCUGAUCAAAGAUAGCACAAGUCUUUUAGAGAGGAAGGGGAGCAGGGAAUAGAAGAGAAGCUUGCUUUUUGUUUGUCUGGUUGUGCAGUCAAAGCUAGAUAAAAAAGCACCGGUCUUUCUAGUAGGCAAAUGGUGUGCUGUAUUGUACCUUAAGCCUGCUGCAUAAAUUUACCUUCUAAAAGCUAGGAUAUACCAUACGUUUUCUUGGCUGCUGCAUUCAUUAAUUCAUGUGCUUAUUCUCUU